rnacentral:rRNA from 1 species
GUAGCGGGGGAUAACUAUUGGAAACGAUAGCUAAUACCGCAUAACAAUGGAUGACACAUGUCAUUUAUUUGAAAGGGGCAAUUGCUCCACUACAAGAUGGACCUGCGUUGUAUUAGCUAGUAGGUGAGGUAAUGGCUCACCUAGGCGACGAUACAUAGCCGACCUGAGAGGGUGAUCGGCCACACUGGGACUGAGACACGGCCCAGACUCCUACGGGAGGCAGCAGUAGGGAAUCUUCGGCAAUGGGGGCAACCCUGACCGAGCAACGCCGCGUGAGUGAAGAAGGUUUUCGGAUCGUAAAGCUCUGUUGUAAGUCAAGAACGGGUGUGAGAGUGGAAAGUUCACACUGUGACGGUAGCUUACCAGAAAGGGACGGCUAACUACGUGCCAGCAGCCGCGGUAAUACGUAGGUCCCGAGCGUUGUCCGGAUUUAUUGGGCGUAAAGCGAGCGCAGGCGGUUUGAUAAGUCUGAAGUUAAAGGCUGUGGCUCAACCAUAGUUCGCUUUGGAAACUGUC